UCGUAACAAGGUUUCCGUAGGUGAACCUGCGGAAGGAUCAUUACCGAGUGCGGGCUGCCUCCGGGCGCCCAACCUCCCACCCGUGACUACCUAACACUGUUGCUUCGGCGGGGAGCCCUCUCGGGGGCGAGCCGCCGGGGACUACUGAACUUCAUGCCUGAGAGUGAUGCAGUCUGAGUCUGAAUAUAAAAUCAGUCAAAACUUUCAACAAUGGAUCUCUUGGUUCCGGCAUCGAUGAAGAACGCAGCGAACUGCGAUAAGUAAUGUGAAUUGCAGAAUUCAGUGAAUCAUCGAGUCUUUGAACGCACAUUGCGCCCCCUGGCAUUCCGGGGGGCAUGCCUGUCCGAGCGUCAUUGCUGCCCAUCAAGCCCGGCUUGUGUGUUGGGUCGUCGUCCCCCCCGGGGGACGGGCCCGAAAGGCAGCGGCGGCACCGUGUCCGGUCCUCGAGCGUAUGGGGCUUUGUCACCCGCUCGAUUAGGGCCGGCCGGGCGCCAGCCGACGUCUCCAACCAUUUUCUUCAGGUUGACCUCGGAUCAGGUAGGGAUACCCGCUGAACUUAAGCAUAUCAAUAAGCGGAGGAAAAGAAACCAACCGGGAUUGCCCCAGUAACGGCGAGUGAAGCGGCAAGAGCUCAAAUUUGAAAUCUGGCCCCUCCGGGGUCCGAGUUGUAAUUUGCAGAGGAUGCUUCGGGUGCGGCCCCUGUCUAAGUGCCCUGGAACGGGCCGUCAGAGAGGGUGAGAAUCCCGUCUUGGGCAGGGUGCCCGUGCCCGUGUGAAGCUCCUUCGACGAGUCGAGUUGUUUGGGAAUGCAGCUCUA
rnacentral:misc_RNA from 1 species